rnacentral:lncRNA from 1 species
UCGCACAUAUUAUUGAGACCAACUAGCAACAUAGAAAGCACAAUAGUGUACCAACAAUGGCAGCCAAAAUAUUUUGCCUCCUUAUGCUCCUUGGUCUUUCUGCAAGUGCUGCUACGGCGACCAUUUUCCCGCAAUGCUCGCAAGCUCCUAUAGCUUCCCUUCUUCCCCCGUACCUCUCACCAGCGGUGUCUUCGGUAUGUGAAAACCCAAUUCUUCAACCCUACAGGAUCCAACAGGCAAUCACAGCUGGCAUCUUACCUUUAUCACCCUUGUUCCUCCAACAAUCAUCAGCCCUAUUACAUCAGUUACCUUUGGUGCAUUUAUUGGCACAAAACAUCAGGGCACAACAACUACAACAACUUGUGCUAGCAAACCUUGCUGCCUACUCUCAGCAACAGCAGUUUCUUCCAUUCAACCAACUAGCUGCAUUGAACUCUGCUUCUUAUUUGCAACAACAACAACUACCAUUCAGCCAGCUACCUGCUGCCUACCCCCAGCAAUUUCUUCCAUUCAACCAACUGGCAGCAUUGAACUCUCCUGCUUAUUUACAGCAGCAACAACUACUACCAUUCAGCCAGCUAGCUGGUGUGAGCCCUGCUACCUUCUUGAUACAACCACAGUUGUUGCCGUUCUACCAGCACGCUGCGCCUAACGCUGGCACCCUCUUACAACUGCAACAAUUGCUGCCAUUCAACCAACUUGCUUUGACAAACCCAGCAGCGUUCUACCAACAACCCAUCAUUGGUGGUGCCCUCUUUUAGAUUUCUUAUGAGUUAUAGUUCAAUAAUAAAGUUUUUUGUCUGAUGUUUGUGGCUUCCCAGAAAUAAGAAAGUACAUUUCUAGAUUCUUAUGUGCUUCUAGUCUCCAAAUGUGGUUGAUAGUUAUUUUGCUCUAAGAUCGACAGUAAUGAAGUAUAAAUCAUCGUUGUGGUGUGCUACUCGGUUAAUUGAGCAUUAACACACACAAACAUGACGAGGAUGGUAUAAUCUCCAAAAAUAUGUACUUUGUUAGGUGGGACCCUAUAGCCUUGCAUAAUGUGCUAUGUUAGGCAUGCCUGGAAACGUGUGACGCAUAUGUUUUGUGAACCUGUUGAUAUUAUAUGUGCUUUUAUAUUACCAUAUUUUAUUAAAAUACUAAUAUUUAUUACUAGUAAGAUAUAACAUUCUAUCUAGCUUAAAAACUAACCAUAAAUAUUCCAUAAUAACUAGAUUUACCAAACUAAUAUACUAAAUAUACAUAAUAAAUACAAAAUUAACAAGACAAUAAUCAAUAUUUAUGAGCUUAAUAUAUUUAGACAUUAUGGUUGGUCGACCAUAAUCAUGCUAACUUUUCGUACUUGCUUGAUUGUAAAUAUGCUUAGAAUAAUGCCUCUUUGUUCUACAUGGCAAAUAGGGACCAUUAUGGUGUAACACCCUGGGAACCACAAACACCCCGAAAUGCUACUAAACUACACAACUAACCUUCAUAUAUAAAAUUUCGACAGCAUCUCCUUUGAAAAUUUGCAUAAACGUGGAAGCAACAGAGUAUAAACAGAUAUCAUGAUAAGGAAACAUACUAGACAUUAAUAAUCUGCUAGAAAUGGGAAGAUAACCAUAACGACAUAAACUGAAUUAACUAGUGUGCACAACUUGUUUAAAACAAACAUCAUUGACAAGAAGUUUCUAAUUAAAUCAUGGCUGUGCCUGGGUAGCGUUAUUAUGAGAGUGAAGGUGGACGUGAUGCUACUUCCCUCAUUCCCAACAUGAAUCAAGUACCUGCAUUGAGUAAUGCAAGAGUGAGAUGAAAACAUCUCAGCAAGUAAAUUGUUUUGACGAGAUAUUUAAAGCAAAAAAAUUUGAUUUACUCAACAUUUUAAAGGGAUCACAAUUGAGAUCAGAAAUACUUGUAGAUAUAGAACUCAAUAGUCCCAAAAUAACCAGUGCCAUCUCAUUUCCUCAAACAACCACAAUAGGUUGUAUAACACUUCCCUGCGUCAUCAAUACCUGCAAAUAUCACUUCAAUGUAUGCAUAGGAAUGCAAUGUUUAAGUCCUCUGCAUUCAUACUUCUUAGAGUAUAAAACCACACCAUCUGCAAAUAUCACUUCAAUGAAUGCAUAUGAAUGCAAUGCAUAUGUCCUCUGCCUUCAUACCUCUAAGGGUAUGAAGCCGAAUCGUACCCCUCCUCGGGCAACGUACGAUGCUAAGUUGUACCGUUACGGUCGGACCAUAGGUCACGACAAAACUUCAUAUGCAAGUGAAUCAUGACAUGUAUAUGGCUUGCUGCAUUUAUCAAUAUACUUCACUUCCUUCAUAUACAAUACAAACCUCAAAUAAUACUUCGUUUACCUUCAGAUACAAUACAAACCUCAAAUAAUACUUCAUUCACCUUCAGGGGUGUUUAUUAAUCUCGUGGGUCAUACUCGAAUCAUCAUCAUCAUCAAUGAUGAUUAAGCAUCAGUAUAAUACAAUCAAGUAAAGCAUCACCAUAGAGUUCAAUUAUGAAAGAAUUCGAUGAUUCUGAAUAUUAGAGUGUAUGCGAUGAAACAACAACGUCAAAACGGUAGCAACCACCGCUACAUUCACUUGCCUUCAUCGAAGAAGAAAAACAUACUAGGCAUGAUUCAGAGUGUAGACACCUGCUGUGGGGCUUAAAACUUAGUACAAAUAUUCCACAAACAUUUGCCAACAAUUAACAAAUCGCUCCUACACUUGAAACCAAGACCCGGUGGAAUGACUCCCACCCUGAACCACAUGCCAAACAAUAGUAGUGUUGUUUGUUAAUUUUGUAUCUUUAAAAUUAUAACAGUGGUGAUAUCAAACAAAUACUCCAGAAGUUUCUACACAAAAUACUCUACAACUUUGGUAUUCAAUGGAUAAUUAAAUUUUGCCAUCUAUAAGUUCUAAAACAUCUGAUAAGAUAACUGACUGAAUUUGUUUCAGACAACAGCAUAGUUAACUUCAAAAUUCGAUAUCUCCCAAACUCCUCAACCAAAAAUUAUGAAAUUAUUCUGACAGUAAGAACUUUUUUCCCUCUACAAAAGUAUCUAUAGUUGGAAGAGCCAAUUCGGCCAUUUACUAGAUGAAACCUACCAGUUAACAGACCCGCUCAUUUUUGUCAGGCAAACAAGAACCCUUAUAUAUCAAAGAGUAGUGGAUUUGAAUUUGUCUAAUAUGAAGUUUAUGGGCUUGGAUCAUUUAAAGUAUUUUAUAAUUCUGAAAGACAAGAUUAAACUAACUAUGUAUGAUCCUUUAGCACUGUACAGAUGGUCGAUGGGACAGUUACAUGGUUUAUAUAGAUGGACCUAUCUAUAUUCCUUCAGUGGUUGAGAAAAAGGUAAAGGUGUGUCACACUCACGUGUGCGCCGCCUCUACCGAGAUGAGGCAUGGCGUUGCAAGGUGAGGCAUGGCAUGGUGCAGCACGAUCGUAUACAUGGUCGUGGCACAGUGUAGCACUGUUGUGGAUAGAUAGAUAAACUUUUGUUGUAGUUAGAGUGCAUGAGUUUUUGAAUGCAACACAAGAAUUUUCACAAUUUAACUUAAUUAAGAAGUUAUAUCUUGAUGACACAGAGUUACCUGACCAUUGAUCUCACAUGCCCUUUUAGCUCUCUCGUUCUCUAGACUCACCCUGACUAUUUAGGUCUCCUGACUCGCCAAUAUAAACACCAUCCUAUCAUUUGCUCUCGAAUACUUCUGUGUCACAACUCAACUGUCAGAUGAGUACUCCAUUACAGCACUGAGCAGGCCUCCGAAAUGAAUAUCUACUCAGAUGAAGGACGACAAUCGUGUUCUAGGGAAAUAUCGGUGACACAACUCCUUACUUCCUCCGCUUCUUCCUAGUGUUUUUUGUUGUGAUUGAGUCGACACAGCAACAACACUGCACUAUUACAACCAGUACGACUAUAUUAACUAGCAAUGUCUUCCUUAUAUGUUACUAUUUAUUUUGCUCAUAUUCAUUAUGUUUAAAUCACAUAGGCACCUUUUUGUUGGCAUCAAAAAAUUAGUAUCAACUUUCUAGAUUAAAGUGAAACUAAAAGUACCUAAAUUUCUAUCGGUGGGGAUCGAGUGAUUCUUUAAACCAAUUAUUACGCAAGUUAACCACACUAAAAUUAACAUUGGUGAACCGUGCCAUGAUUUUUUCUAAUGGAAAAUAGCCAAACCAAGCAACACAUAUGUGGCUAUCGUUACACAUGUGUAAAGGUAUUGCAUCACACCAUUGUCACCCAUGUAUUUGGACAAUACCGAGAGGAAAAACCACUUAUUUAUUGUAUUUUAUCAAGUUUGUCUUGCUUACGUAUAAAUUAUAACCCAACAAAGUAAUCACUAAAUGUCAAAACCAACUAGAUACCAUGUCAUCUCUACCUUAUCUUACUAAUAUUCUUUUUGCAAAAUCCAAAAUUAAUCUUGCACAAGCACAAGGACUGAGAUGUGUAUAAAUAUCUCUUAAAUUAGUAGCUAAUAUAUCACACAUAUUAUUGAGACCAACUAGCAACAUAGAAAGCACAAUAGUGUACCAACAAUGGCAGCUAAAAUAUUUUGCCUCCUUAUGCUCCUUGGUCUUUCUGCAAGUGCUGCUACGGCGACCAUUUUCCCACAAUGCUCACAAGCUCCUAUAGCUUCCCUUCUUCCCCCGUACCUCUCACCAACGGUGUCUUCGGUAUGUGAAAACCCAAUUCUUCAACCCUACAGGAUCCAACAGGCAAUCGCAGCUGGCAUCUUACCUUUAUCACCCUUGUUCCUCCAACAAUCAUCAGCCCUAUUACAGCAGUUACCUUUGGUGCAUUUAUUGGCACAAAACAUCAGGGCACAACAACUACAACAACUUGUGCUAGCAAACCUUGCUGCCUACUCUCAGCAACAGCAGUUUCUUCCAUUCAACCAACUAGCUGCAUUGAACUCUGCUUCUUAUUUGCAACAACAACAACUACCAUUCAGCCAGCUAUCUGCUGCCUACCCCCAGCAAUUUCUUCCAUUCAACCAACUGACAGCAUUGAACUCUCCUGCUUAUUUACAGCAGCAACAACUACUACCAUUCAGCCAGCUAGCUGGUGUGAGCCCUGCUACCUUCUUGACACAACCACAGUUGUUGCCGUUCUACCAGCACGCUGCGCCUAACGCUGGCACCCUCUUACAACUGCAACAAUUGCUGCCAUUCAACCAACUUGCUUUGACAAACCCAGCAGCAUUCUACCAACAACCCAUCAUUGGUGGUGCCCUCUUUUAGAUUUCUUAUGAGUUAUAGUUCAAUAAUAAAGUUUUUUGUCUGAUGUUUGUGGCUUCCCAGAAAUAAGAAAGUACAUUUCUAGAUUCUUAUGUGCUUCUAGUCUCCAAAUGUGGUUGAUAGUUAUUUUGCUCUAAGAUCAACAGUAAUGAAGUAUAAAUCAUCGUUGUGGUGUGCUACUCGGUUAAUUGAGCAUUAACACACACAAACAUGACGAGGAUGGUAUAAUCUCCAAAAAUGUGUACUUUGUUAGGUGGGACCCUAUAGCCUUGAUUAAUGUGCUAUGUUAGGCAUGCCUGGAAACGUGUGACGCAUAUGUUUUGUGAACCUGUUGAUAUUAUAUGUGCUUUUAUAUUACCAUAUUUUAUUAAAAUACUAAUAUUUAUUACUAGUAAGAUAUAACAUUCUAUCUAGCUUAAAAACUAACCAUAAAUAUUCCAUAAUAACUAGAUUUACCAAACUAAUAUACUAAAUAUACAUAAUAAAUACAAAAUUAACAAGACAAUAAUCAAUAUUUAUGAGCUUAAUAUAUUUAGACAUUAUGGUUGGUCGACGAUAAUCAUGCUAACUUUUCGUAAUUGCUUGAUUGUAAAUAUGCUUAGAAUAAUGCCUCUUUGUUCUACAUGGCAAAUAGGGACCAUUAUGGUGUAACACCCUGGGAACCACAAACACCCCGAAAUGCUACUAAACUACACAACUAACCUUCAUAUAUAAAAUUUCGACAGCAUCUCCUUUGAAAAUUUGCAUAGACGUGGAAGCAACAGAGUAUAAACAGAUAUCAUGAUAAGAAAACAUACUAGACAUUAAUAAUCUGCUAGAAAUGGGAAGAUAACCAUAACGACAUAAACUGAAUUAACUAGUGUGCACAACUUGUUAAAAACAAACAUCGUUGACAAGAAGUUUCUAAUUAAAUCAUGGUUGUGCCUGGGCAGCGUUAUUAUGAGAGUGAAGGUGGACGUGAUGCUACUUCCCUCAUUCCCAACAUGAAUCAAGUACCUGCAUUGAGCAAUGCAAGAGUGAGAUGAAAACAUCUCAGCAAGUAAAUUGUUUUGACGAGAUAUUUAAACCAAAAAAAUUUGAUUUACUCAACAUUUUAAAGGGAUCACAAUUGAGAUCAGAAAUACUUGUAGAUAUAGAACUCAAUAGUCCCAAAAUAACCAGUGCCAUCUCAUUUCCUCAAACAACCACAAUAGGUUGUAUAACACUUCCCUGCGUCAUCAAUACCUGCAAAUAUCACUUCAAUGUAUGCAUAGGAAUGCAAUGUUUAAGUCCUCUGCAUUCAUACUUCUUAGAGUAUAAAACCACACCAUCUGCAAAUAUCACUUCAAUGAAUGCAUAUGAAUGCAAUGCAUAUGUCCUCUGCCUUCAUACCUCUAAGGGUAUGAAGCCGAAUCGUACCCCUCCUCGGGCAACGUACGAUGCUAAGUUGUACCGGUACGGUCGGACCAUAGGUCACGACAAAACUUCAUAUGCAAGUGAAUCAUGACAUGUAUAUGGCUUGCUGCAUUUAUCAAUAUACUUCACUUCCUUCAUAUACAAUACAAACCUCAAAUAAUACUUCGUUUACCUUCAGAUACAAUACAAACCUCAAAUAAUACUUCAUUCACCUUCAGGGGUGUUUAUUAAUCUCGUGGGUCAUACUCGAAUCAUCAUCAUCAUCAAUGAUGAUUAAGCAUCAGUAUAAUACAAUCAAGUAAAGCAUCACCAUAGAGUUCAAUUAUGAAAGAAUUCGAUGAUUCUGAAUAUUAGAGUGUAUGCGAUGAAACAACAACGUCAAAACGGUAGCAACCACCGCUACAUUCAUUUGCCUUCAUCGAAGAAGAAAAAUGUACUAGGCAUGAUUCAGAGUGUAGACACCUGCUGUGGGGCUUAAAACUUAGUACAAAUAUUCCACAAACAUUUGCCAACAAUUAACAAAUCGCUCCUACACUUGAAACCAAGACCCGGUGGAAUGACUCCCACCCUGAACCACAUGCCAAACAAUAGUAGUGCUGUUUGUUAAUUUUGUAUCUUUAAAAUUAUAACAGUGGUGAUAUCAAACAAAUACUCUAGAAGUUUCUACACAAAAUACUCUACAACUUCGGUAUUCAAUGGAUAAUUAAAUUUUGCCAUCUAUAAGUUCUAAAACAUCUGAUAAGAUAACUGACUGAAUUUGUUUCAGACAGCAGCAUAGUUAACUUCAAAAUUCGAUAUCUCCCAAACUCCUCAACCAAAAAUUAUGAAAUUAUGCUGACAGUAAGAACUUUUUGUCCCUCUACAAAAGUAUCUAUAGUUGGAAGAGCCAAUUCGGCCAUUUACUAGAUGAAACCUACCAGUUAACAGACCCGCUCAUUUUUGUCAGGCAAACAAGAACCCUUAUAUAUCAAAGAGUAGUGGAUUUGAAUUUGUCUAAUAUGAAGUUUAUGGGCUUGGAUCAUUUAAAGUAUUUUAUAAUUCUGAAAGACAAGAUUAAACUAACUAUGUAUGAUCCUUUAGCACCGUACAGAUGGUCGAUGGGACAGUUACAUGGUUUAUAUAGAUGGACCUAUCUAUAUUCCUUCAGUGGUUGAGAAAAAGGUAAAGGUGUGUCACACUCACGUGUGCGCCGCCUCUGCCGAGAUGAGGCAUGGCGUUGCAAGGUGAGGCAUGGCAUGGUGCAGCACGAUCGCAGUCAUGGUCGUGGCACAGUGUAGCACUGUUGUGGAUAGAUAGAUAAACUAUUGUUGUAGUUAGAGUGCAUGAGUUUUUGAAUGCAACACUAGGAUUUUCACAAUUUAACUUAAUUAAGAAGUUAUAUCUUGAUGACACAGAGUUACCUGACCAUUGAUCUCACAUGCCCUUUUAGCUCUCUUGUUCUCUAGACUCACCCUGACUAUUGAGGUCUCUUGACUCGCCAAUAUAAACACCAUCCUAUCAUUUGCUCUCGAAUACUUUUGUGUCACAACUCAACUGUCAGAUGAGUACUCCAUUACAGCACUGAGCAGGCCUCCGAAAUGAAUAUCUACUCAGAUGAAGGACGACAAUCGUGUUCUAGGGAAAUAUCAGUGACACAACUCCUUACUUCCUCUGCUUCUUCCUAGUGUUUUUUGUUGUGAUUGAGUCGACACAGCAACAACACUGCACUAUUACAACCAGUACGACUAUAUUAACUAGCAAUGUCUUCCUUAUAUGUUACUAUUUAUUUUGCUCAUAUUCAUUAUGUUUAAAUCACAUAGGCACCUUUUUGUUGGCAUCAAAAAAUUAGUAUCAACUUUCUAGAUUAAAGUGAAACUAAAAGUACCUAAAUUUCUAUCGGUGGGGAUCGAGUGAUUCUUUAAACCGAUUAUUACACAAGUGAACCACACUAAAAUUAACAUUGGUGAAUCGUGCCAUGAUUUUUUCUAGUGGAAAAUAGCCAAACCAAGCAACACAUAUGUGGCUAUCGUUACACAUGUGUAAAGGUAUUGCAUCACACCAUUGUCACCCAUGUAUUUGGACAAUACCGAGAGGAAAAACCACUUAUUUAUUGUAUUUUAUCAAGUUUGUCUUGCUUACGUAUAAAUUAUAACCCAACAAAGUAAUCACUAAAUGUCAAAACCAACUAGAUACCAUGUCAUCUCUACCUUAUCUUACUAAUAUUCUUUUUGCAAAAUCCAAAAUUAAUCUUGCACAAGCACAAGGACUGAGAUGUGUAUAAAUAUCUCUUAAAUUAGUAGCUAAUAUAUCACACAUAUUAUUGAGACCAACUAGCAACAUAGAAAGCACAAUAGUGUACCAACAAUGGCAGCCAAAAUAUUUUGCCUCCUUAUGCUCCUUGGUCUUUCUGCAAGUGCUGCUACGGCGACCAUUUUCCCACAAUGCUCACAAGCUCCUAUAGCUUCCCUUCUUCCCCCGUACCUCUCACCAGCGGUGUCUUCGGUAUGUGAAAACCCAAUUCUUCAACCCUAUAGGAUCCAACAGGCAAUCGCAGCUGGCAUCUUACCUUUAUCACCCUUGUUCCUCCAACAAUCAUCAGCCCUAUUACAGCAGUUACCUUUGGUGCAUUUAUUGGCACAAAACAUCAGGGCACAACAACUACAACAACUUGUGCUAGCAAACCUUGCUGCCUACUCUCAGCAACAACAGUUUCUUCCAUUCAACCAACUAGCUGCAUUGAACUCUGCUUCUUAUUUGCAACAACAACAACUACCAUUCAGCCAGCUAUCUGCUGCCUACCCCCAGCAAUUUCUUCCAUUCAACCAACUGACAGCUUUGAACUCUCCUGCUUAUUUACAGCAGCAACAACUACUACCAUUCAGCCAGCUAGCUGGUGUGAGCCCUGCUACCUUCUUGACACAACCACAAUUGUUGCCGUUCUACCAGCACGCUGCGCCUAACGCUGGCACCCUCUUACAACUGCAACAAUUGCUGCCAUUCAACCAACUUGCUUUGACAAACCCAACAGCAUUCUACCAACAACCCAUCAUUGGUGGUGCCCUCUUUUAGAUUUCUUAUGAGUUAUAGUUCAAUAAUAAAGUUUUUUGUCUGAUGUUUGUGGCUUCCCAGAAAUAAGAAAGUACAUUUCUAGAUUCUUAUGUGCUUCUAGUCUCCAAAUGUGGUUGAUAGUUAUUUUGCUCUAAGAUUAGCAGUAAUGAAGUAUAAAUCAUCGUUGUGGUGUGCUACUCGGUUAAUUGAGCAUUAACACACACAAACAUGACGAGGAUGGUAUAAUCUCCAAAAAUGUGUACUUUGUUAGGUGGGACCCUAUAGCCUUGCAGAAUGUGCUACGUUAGGCAUGCCAAUGGAAACGUGUGACACAUACGUUUUGUGAAUCUGUUGAUAUUAUAUGUGCUUUUAUAUUACCAUAUUUUAUUAAAAUACUAAUAUUUAUUACUAGUAAGAUAUAACAUUCUAUCUAGCUUAAAAACUAACCAUAAAUAUUCCAUAAUAACUAGAUUUACCAAACUAAUAUACUAAAUAUACAUAAUAAAUAUAAAAUUAACAAGACAAUAAUUAAUAUUUAUGAGCUUAAUUUAUUUAGACAUUAUGGUUGGUCGACGAUAAUCAUGCUAACUUUCCGUAAUUGCUUGAUUGUAAAUAUGCUUAGAAUAAUGCCUCUUUGUUCUACAUGGCAAAUAGGGACCAUUAUGGUGUAACACCCCGGGAUCCACAAACACCCCGAAAUGCUACUAAACUACACAACUAACCUUCAUAUAUAAAAUUUCGACAGCAUCUCCUUUGAAAAUUUGCAUAAACGUGGAAGCAACAGAGUAUAAACAGAUAUCAUGAUAAGGAAACAUACUAGACAUUAAUAAUCUGCUAGAAAUGGGAAGAUAACCAUAACGACAUAAACUGAAUUAACUAGUGUGCACAACUUGUUAAAAACAAACAUCGUUGACAAGAAGUUUCUAAUUAAAUCAUGGUUGUGCCUGGGCAGCGUUAUUAUGAGAGUGAAGGUGGACGUGAUGCUACUUCCCUCAUUCCCAACAUGAAUCAAGUACCUGCAUUGAGUAAUGCAAGAGUGAGAUGAAAACAUCUCAGCAAGUAAAUUGUUUUGACGAGAUAUUUAAACCAAAAAAAUUGAUUUAAUCAACAUUUUAAAGGGAUCACAAUUGAGAUCAGAAAUACUUGUAGAUAUAGAACUCAAUAGUCCCAAAAUAACCAAUGCCAUCUCAUUUCCUCAAACAACCACAAUAGGUUGUAUAACACUUCCCUGCGUCAUCAAUACCUGCAAAUAUCACUUCAAUGUAUGCAUAGGAAUGCAAUGUUUAAGUCCUCUGCAUUCAUACUUCUUAGAGUAUAAAACCACACCAUCUGCAAAUAUCACUUCAAUGAAUGCAUAUGAAUGCAAUGCAUAUGUCCUCUGCCUUCAUACCUCUAAGGGUAUGAAGCCGCAUCGUACCCCUCCUCGGGCAACGUACGAUGCUAAGUUGUACCGGUACGGUCGGACCAUAGGUCACGACAAAACUUCAGAUGCAAGUGAAUCAUGACAUGUAUAUGGCAUGCUGCAUUUAUCAAUAUACUUCACUUCCUUCAUAUACAAUACAAACCUAAAAUAAUACUUCGUUUACCUUCAGAUACAAUACAAACCUCAAAUAAUACUUCAUUCACCUUCAGGGGUGUUUAUUAAUCUCGUGGGUCAUACUCAAAUCAUCAUCAUCAUCAAUGAUGUUUAAGCAUCAGUAUAAUACAAUCAAGUAAAGCAUCACCAUAGAGUUCAAUUAUGAAAGAAUUCGAUGAUUCUGAAUAUUAGAGUGUAUGCGAUGAAACAACAAAGUCAAAACGGUAGCAACCACCUCUACAUUCACUUGCCUUCAUCGAAGAAGAAAAAGGUACUAGGCAUGAUUCGGAGUGUAGACACCUGCUGUGGGGCUUAAAACUUAGUACAAAUAUUCCAUAAACAUUUGCCAACAAUUAACAAAUCGCUCCUACACUUGAAACCAAGACCCGGUGGAAUGACUCCCACCCUGAACCACAUGCCAAACAACAAUAGUGUUGUUUGUUAAUUUCUAUCUUUAAAAUUAUAACAGUGGUGAUAUCAAACAAAUACUCUAUACGUUUCUACACAAAAUACUCUACAACUUCGGUAUUCAAUGGAUAAUUAAAUUUUGCCAUCUAUAAGUUCUAAAACAUCUGACAAGAUAACUGACUGAAUCUGUUUCAGACAACAGCAUAGUUAACUUCAAAAUUCGAUAUCUCCCUAACUCCUCAACAAAAAAUUAUGAAAUUAUGCUGACAGUAAGAACUUUUAUCCCUCUACAAAAGUCUCCAUAGUUGAAAGAGCCAAUUCGGCCAUUUACUAGAUGAAACCUACCAGUUAACGGACCCGCUCAUUUUUGUCAAGCAAACAAGAACCCUUAUAUAUCAAAGAGUAGUGGAUUUGAAUUUGUCUAAUAUGAAGUUUACGGGCUUGGCUCAUUUAAAGUAUUUAAUAAUUCUGAAAGACAAGAUUAAACUAACUAUGUAUGAUCCUUUAGCACCGUACAGAUGGUCGAUGGGACAGUUACAUGGUUUAUAUAGAUGGACCUAUCUAUAUUCCUUCAGUGGUUGAGAAAAAAGUAAAGGUGUGUCACACUCACGUGUGCGCCGCCUCCGCCGAGACGAGGCAUGGCGUUGCAAGGUGAGGCAUGGCAUGGUGUAGCACGAUAGCAGUCAUGGUCGUGGCACAGUGUAGCACUGUUGUGGAUAGAUAGGUAAACUAUUGUUGUAGUUAGAGUGCAUGAGUUUUUGAAUGCAACACUAGAAUUUUCACAAUUUAACUUAAUUAAGAAGUUAUAUCUUGAUGACACAGAGUUACCUGACCAUUGAUCUCACAUGCCCUUUUAGCUCUCUCGUUCUCUAGACUCACCCUGACUAUUUAAGUCUCUUGACUCGCCAAUAUAAACACCAUCCUAUCAUUUGCUCUAGAAUACUUCUGUGUCACAACUCAACUGUCAGAUGAGUACUCCAUUACAGCACUUACGUACACGAGUUCUAUGAGAGCAGGCCUCCAAAAUGAAUAUCUACUUAGAUGAAGGACGACAAUCGUGUUCUAGGGAAAUAUCAGCGACACAACUCCUUACUUCCUUCGCUUCUUCCUAGUGUUUUUUGUUGUGAUUGAGUCGACACAGCAACAACACUGCACUAUUACAACCAGUACGACUAUAUCAACUAGCAAUGUCUUCCUUAUAUGUUACUAUUUAUUUUGCACAUAUUCAUUAUGUUUAAAUCACAUAGGCACCUUUCUAUUGGCAUCAAAAAAUUAGUAUCAACUUUCUAGAUUAAAAUGAAACUAAAAGUACAUAAAUUUCUAUCGGUGGGGAUCGAGUGAUUCUUUAAACCGAUUAUUACACAAGUUAACCACACUAAAAUUAACAUUGGUGAAUCGUGCCAUGAUUUUUUUUCUAGUGGAAAAUAGCCAAACCAAGCAACACAUAUGUGGCUAUCGUUACACAUGUGUAAAGGUAUUGCAUCACACUAUUGUCACCCAUGUAUUUGGACAAUACCGAGAGGAAAAACCACUUAUUUAUUGUAUUUUAUCAAGUUUGUCUUGCUUACGUAUAAAAUUAUAACCCAACAAAGUAAUCACUAAACGUCAAAACCAACUAGAUAUCAUGUCAUCUCUACCUUAUCUUACUAAUAUUCUUUUUGCAAAAUCCAAAAUUAAUCUUGCACAAGCACAAGGACUGAGAUGUGUAUAAAUAUCUCUUAAAUUAGUAGCUAAUAUAUCGCACAUAUUAUUUAGACCAACUAGCAACAUAGAAAGCACAAUAGUGUACCAACAAUGGCAGCCAAAAUAUUUUGCCUCCUUAUGCUCCUUGGUAUUUCUGCAAGUGCUGCUACGGCGACCAUUUUCCCGCAAUGCUCACAAGCUCCUAUAGCUUCCCUUCUUCCCCCGUACCUCUCACCAGCGGUGUCUUCGGUAUGUGAAAACCCAAUUCUUCAACCCUACAGGAUCCAACAGGCAAUCGCAGCUGGCAUCUUACCUUUAUCACCCUUGUUCCUCCAACAAUCAUCAGCCCUAUUACAGCAGUUACCUUUGGUGCAUUUAUUGGCACAAAACAUCAGGGCACAACAACUACAACAACUUGUGCUAGCAAACCUUGCUGCCUACUCUCAGCAACAGCAGUUUCUUCCAUUCAACCAACUAGCUGCAUUGAACUCUGCUUCUUAUUUGCAACAACAACAACUACCAUUCAGCCAGCUACCUGUUGCCUACCCCCAGCAAUUUCUUCCAUUCAACCAACUGGCAGCAUUGAACUCUCCUGCUUAUUUACAGCAGCAACAACUACUACCAUUCAGCCAGCUAGCUGGUGUGAGCCCUGCUACCUUCUUGACACAACCACAGUUGUUGCCGUUCUACCAGCACGCUGCGCCUAACGCUGGCACCCUCUUACAACUGCAACAAUUGCUGCCAUUCAACCAACUUGCUUUGACAAACCUAGCAGUGUUCUACCAACAACCCAUCAUUGGUGGUGCCCUCUUUUAGAUUUCUUAUGAGUUAUAGUUCAAUAAUAAAGUUUUUUGUCUGAUGUUUGUGGCUUCCCAGAAAUAAGAAAGUACAUUUCUAGAUUCUUAUGUGCUUCUAGUCUCCAAAUGUGGUUGAUAGUUAUUUUGCUCUAAGAUCAGCAGUACAACAACAACAACAACAACAACAACAACAACAACAAAGCCUUUUUGUCCCAAGCACGUUGGGGUAGGCUAGAGAUGAAACCCCGUAUGAAAACCUCAGAGCUCAACCCCCAAAGAACAGAAAAGGGAAACAAAGGCAAAGGAGAACCGAAAACAACGAAACGGGGAAACACAUAAAAGAGAUAAAACCCACAAGGACCAGCAAGAUCUAAAAUGGACACAAGAAAAGGUCAAACGAUUAAGGAGGAAAAGCGAAACUAUCAAUCAGGGUUCUGGCACGUGAAUUGCACACUUCCACCCCUUCCUAUCUGCGGCGAGCUCUUUGUCAAUAUUCCACUCCUUCAGGUCUCUCUUCACAGCCUCUGUCCACGUCAAAGUUGGUCGACCUCUACCUCUCUUCACAUUUUCGGGACGCCUAAUUAUUCCGAUAUGCACUGGUGCCUCUUCAGGUCUUCGUUGGAUAUGUCCAAACCAUCUCAAGCGAUGUUGCAUAAGCUUCUCCUCAAUUGGCGCCACUCCUACUCUCUCUCGUAUAUCAUCAUUCCGGACUCGAUCUCUCCUUGUGUGGCCACAUAUCCAGCGCAACAUACGCAUCUCUGCCACACUUAGUUGUUGGACAUGUCGUCUUUUAGUGGGCCAACAUUCUGCUCCAUACAACAUAGCCGGCCGGAUUGCUGUCCUGUAGAAUUUGCCUUUUAGUUUGCGUGGCACCCGGUGGUCGCAUAAGACACCCGCAGCUUGUCGCCACUUCAACCAUCCGGCUUUAAUUCUAUGACUGACAUCCUCAUCGAUGUCUCCCUCCUUUUGAAGCAUUGAUCCUAAGUAACGAAAAGUGUCUUUCUUGGGUACCACUUGCCCAUCAAGACUAACAUCGCCAUCCUCAUACCCCAUGGCACUGAAAUCACACUUCAUAUACUCUGUUUUAGACCUACUAAGCCUAAAACCUUUUGCUUCCAGCGUCUGCCUCCACAAUUCCAACUUUUGAGAAACACCACUCCUACUCUCCUCAAUAAGUACCACAUCAUCGGCAAAAAGCAUACACCACGGUAAAACUCCUUGUAUGUCCCUUGUGACCUCAUCUAUCACCAAAGCGAAAAGAUAAGGGCUCAAAGCCGACCCUUGAUGUAGUCCUAUGUUAAUUGGAAAGUCAUCGGUGUCUCCAUCACUUGUUCGGACACUUGUCACAACAUUAGUGUACAUAUCUUUAAUAAGAUUAAUGUACUUUGUUGCUACUUUGUGUUUUUCCAAGGCCCACCACAUUACACUCCUAGGUACUUUGUCAUAAGCCUUCUCCAAGUCUAUGAAGACCAUAUGCAGGUCUUUCUUUUGUUCUCUGAAUCUCUCCAUAAGUUGUCUUAGUAAGAAAAUGGCCUCCAUAGUUGAUCUCCCGGGCAUGAAACCAAACUGAUUUUGGGUCACGCUCGUCAUCUUUCGCAGGCGGUGUUCAAUGACUCUCUCCCAUAGCUUCAUUGUAUGGCUCAUGAGCUUAAUUCCACGGUAAUUAGUACAACUUUGAACAUCUCCUUUGUUCUUGAAGAUUGGUACUAAUGUACUCCGCCGCCACUCGUCGGGCAUUCUGUUUGCCCGAAAGAUGGUGUUGAAAAGCUUAGUCAGCCAUACUAUCGCUAUGUCUCCAAGACAUCUCCAUACCUCGAUAGGGAUACCAUCAGGGCCCAUCGCCUUUCCUACCUUCAUCCUUUUUAGCGCCUCCUUAACUUCAUAUUCUUGUAUCCUUCGUACAAAACCCCUGUUGUUGUCAUCGAAUGGUUCGUCCAAUUCUAUUGUAGCACUCUCAUUCCCUCCAUUGAACAAUUUGUUGAAGUACUCCUUCCAUCUGUUCUUGAUCUCUUCACUCUUCACUAAUAGUUGGUUUGCUUCGUCCUUGAUGCAUUUGACUUGGUUGACAUCCCUUGUCUUCCUUUCACGAAUCUUGGCCAUCCUAUAGAUAUCCUUUUCUCCCUGCUUUGUGUCCAGCCGUUGAUAAAGGUCGUCAUAGGCUUGACCCCGGGCUCUACUAACCGCUCGCUUUGCAGACUUCUUCGCUAUCCUGUACUUCUCUAUGUUUUCUGCACACUUGUCAUGAUGUAAGCGUUUGUAGCAAUCUUUCUUCUCCUUGAUAGCCUUUUGGACAUCUUCGUUCCACCACCAAGUGUCUUUAACUUCCCUUCUGUUCCCUUGACUCAACCCAAACUCUUCUGAAGCUAUCUUUCGGAUGCAUGUCGCCAUCUUCCUCCACAUGAUAUUUGCGUCUUCCUCUCCUGCCCAAGGGCCCUCCUCGAUAACUCUCUUCUUGAAAGUUUGGGCCACAUCCCCUUUAAGCUUCCACCACUUUGUUCUAGUGACCUUGUUAUGCUUAUUUCGUUGUAAACGAAUCUUAAAACGGAAGUCAGCAACGACAAGCUUAUGUUGGGUUACCACACACUCUCCAGGUAUAACCUUGCAAUCUAAGCAGGCAUGCCUGUCCUCUUUUCUCAAGAGGACGAAAUCAAUCUGGCUAGUGUGUUGGCCACUACUGAAGGUCACCAGGUGGGAUUGCCUCUUCUUAAAGAAAGUGUUUGCUAUAAACAUGUCAUAGGCUAGGGCAAAGUUCAGGAUUUCCUCUCCUUCUUGAUUCCUAGUCCCAAAGCCGAAGCCUCCAUGUACACCCUCGAAACUGGUGCUAGAUGUACCCACAUGGCCAUUGAGAUCUCCUCCUAUGAAGAGCUUCUCGCCAACUGGCACACUACUAACCAUGUCCUCUAGGCCUUCCCAGAACUCUCUCUUUGAGUUCUCAUUAAGGCCUACUUGAGGAGCAUACGCGCUGAUAACAUUGAGAACCAAGUCUCCAAUGACCAGCUUGACUAGGAUGAUUCUAUCUCCUACCCUCUUAACAUCUACUACCCCAUCUUUGAGGCUCUUGUCGAUCAAGACGCCUACUCCAUUCUUGUUUGUUGCAGUCCCCGUGUACCACAACUUGAAACCUGUACCUUUCACUUCCUUCGCCUUCUGUCCCUUCCACUUGGUCUCUUGAACGCAUAAAAUAUUUACCCGUCUCCUCACCGCAACGUCAACUAUUUCUCGUAACUUACCUGUUAAGGAACCUACGUUCCAACUGCCUACACGGACCCUAGUUGGCUCGACUAGCUUCCUUACCCUUCGCACCCGCCGAGGAAGAUGCAAAGACCCUUGCUCAUUUUUCACUACACCCGGGCGCCGAUGUAGCGCGCCACUAAGGAUGCGACGACCCGAUCCUUGCUCACUUAUCACCGGCUCCAGAUCAAGAGACAGCGCGUCACUUGAGGGGUGACGACCCGGCCCUUGCUCAUUUAACACCAUACCCGGGUUCCGAUAUGGCGCGUCGCUAAGAGGGUUACGCCCCAACGGUUUUCUUUGUGGUUUCAUCUCCAUAAGAUUUGGCUGGUUUUUUACGUUGGUUUGCCGGACCUAACACAACCCUCCUCCUUUACCGGGCUUGGGACCGGCUAUGUUGAAACGACUCAAGGAAGUCUUCCAAUCAACAUAGGCGGAGUUUAAGAUCAGCAGUAAUGAAGUAUAAAUCAUCGUUGUGGUGUGCUACUCGGUUAAUUGAGCAUUAACACACACAAACAUGACGAGGAUGGUAUAAUCUCCCAAAAUGUGUACUUUGUUAGGUGGGACCCUAUAGCCUUGCAGAAUGUGCUACGUUAGGCAUGCCGAUGGAAACGUGUGACGCAUACGUUUUGUGAACCUGUUGAUAUUAUAUGUGCUUUUAUAUUACCAUAUUUUAUUAAAACACUAAUAUUUAUUACUAGUAAGAUAUAACAUUCUAUCUAGCUUAAAAACUAACCAUAAAUAUUCCAUAAUAACUAGAUUUACCAAACUAAUAUACUAAAUAUACAUAAUAAAUACAAAAUUAACAAGACAAUAAUCAAUAUUUAUGAGCUUAAUAUAUUUAGACAUUAUGGUUGGUCGACGAUAAUCAUGCUAACUUUCCGUAAUUGCUUGAUUGUAAAUAUGCUUAGACUAAUGCCUCUUUGUUCUACAUGGCAAAUAGGGACCACUCUAGGAGACUAGGAUGUUGCUUGAGAUGAAAAUGUCAGAAUUGGUGUAGACUAAUUUCUAUCGGCCGCUGACUUCACUAUUGUAACCAUUAUAUCUUGGGUAAAUUAUAUACGAUUAUCCAGCCAAAGGGCCCAGAUGAUAAAAAACAAUUUUUAAUUGCUAUUUUAGGACAAAUGAAUUAGCAUGGUUCGAAGGAUUACGACCUUCCCCCCAUGACCUUUGUCAUACUGCUUUAGUCUAAUCGACAAAACCAAGAUUAGUUAUCAUCGAAGAAGUUCAUAAGCGAAGUUGUGACGAUGAAAGGAACAUGGUGGUAAUUGGACGAACGACGACACCUUUGUCUAAGAAUGGCAUCUAGAAGAAAUCUCAGACAAAAUAAGACAUGAAUGGCUUGUCAGUACAGCGCAAAUACUGAAACAUGCGCCCUUGAAUAUGAAACAUUUAUAUGUAAGAGGAAGGGAUAAAAAAACUAAUUACUCGUGCCUAAUGAUUUUAUUGGGAAUUUUAAGGCGAGACUUAUGGCAAAGGGUUAUACCAAAAAUAGGGGAGAGAUUAUUUCGAUACUUAUUCACUUGUUUCCCUUCAAAUGGCCAUACAUGUGUUACUUUUUUUGGCUGCCUCGCAUGGUCUUAUCGUUCAUCAGAUGAAUGUUAAGACUGCUUUCCCAAAUGGAGAGCUUAAGGAACAGAUCUACAUUGACUAGCCUAGUGGUUUUAUAUCAAAUGGUAAAGAGGAAAAGGUGUUUAAAAUAAUUGUUUGGUUUAAAACAAGCACCAAAGCACAUGAGAAAAUCGAUAAAGUUCUGACUUUGGCUAAAUUUGUUGUAAAUGAAGUUGAUAAAUGUGUCCAUUACCAGUUUGACAGGGGCGAAGGUAUGACCUUUUUAUAUGUGGACAAAAUAUUAACCUUUUGUAACGAUGUUAAUAUGAUAGAAGAAGUAAAGUAAUUUUUGUCUAGUAACUUAGAAAUAAACAAUCUGGGAGAGGCUAAUGUUGUUCUUAACAAAGAGAUGUUGAGAGAAGGAGGAAAUAGAGGGUUACUCUUGUGCAAUCCUAUUAGGUUGAAAAGUCGCUGAGUCGCUUUGGAUAUAGUGAUUACACGUCUGGUCCAACAACUUAUGACCCAAGUGUGUUAUUAAGGAAAAAUCAUAUAAUUGCAUAUGAUCAAUUGAGAUAUUGUCAAAUCAUGGUCUUCUCAUAUAUUUGGCAAGCCCAACGAUGUCUCAUAUCUGAUUUGUUAUGAGCAAACUCAGUUGCCUUGUCUCCAAUCUAGGGGAGGAUCAUGACAUGCCCUAGAGAGGGUAUUGCGCUUUCUCAAAGGGAUAUGAGUAAUGUCAUUUACUAUACUAGGCACCUAAGAGUACCAGAGUGUUAUAGUCAUGCAAAUAGGAUAUCUGAUGUUGAUUAGAUUUAUGCCACAAGUAGACUUGUGUGCUUCCUUGGAGGUGUGAUUGUUUCAUGGAAGUCUUGUAAGUAGACCAUCUUAACAAGGUCAACAAUAGAAGUAGAACUCACAACAUUAUAUACUACCAAAGUUGAAGUUGAUUGGCUCCGUGAACUCCUUACGGAUUUACCAGUAGUUGAAAAACCAAUACUGGUUAUCUCUAUGAGCUACAAUAAUCAAACAUUUGUAAUCGAAGUAAACAGUUCUAAAGUUAACAUGAUGUCUACAAAGCAUGUAAAAAUGGUUGAAACUGUUAAAACACUAAGAAACUCUAGAUUAAUUAUGUUGGACUAUAUCCAUACAUCGAAUUUGGUAUGCCAGUUUACAGAAGAUUUGUCACAUAAUAUGAUUCAAGGUGCAUCGAGGAAUAUGGGCUUGAGACCCACUUAAUGUCAAUCCAUAGUGGUAGCAGUUUCUAUGUGAUUGGAGAUCCCAUAAAGUAGAAUGGUGAAACAAGCUAGAGAAUGACUGAUGGAGAGACUCCUUAAAUAAAAUCUUGAUAAUUUGAGAUGCACAUUUCUCAUUUGAUGUAUUGUAGGCGAACUAAAAUCUUAAUAUGAUUUGAGUGACUUAUCUAAGCAGGGAUGUUAUCUUACAGAACAUCCUAGAAAGAACACACCUAUAUGAGUUUGCAUGUUAGUCAUAGUCUAUCAUGUGUGGUAAUCUUUAUAUACUCAUGAAAGGCUUGAAGUUUGACUUAUAUGCUUCAAACCAAGGGGGUGCUUGUAACAGUCUAGUACAAGAUAAGAACAUUGGUAAAACUCACUUAACGCAAAAUUGUCAAUUUAAGGCAUAGUUCAUUGUUUAGAUGUGAAUGUGUAAUCCCUGUUCUAGAUGGAUGGUCAACUUAACAGCCUCCACCAAAACCCUGAUAUCUCAAAGAGUAGUGGAUUUGAGUUUGUCUAAUAUGUGGUUUAGAUUUUGGUGGGGAAUUUUAAUAUUUUAUGGGCUUGGCCCAUUUAAGGUAUUUAAUACUUUCAAAAGACAAGAUUAAACAUGUGUGAAUAGUGUCAUGAUUUUUUUCUAGUGCAAAAUAGCCCAACAAAUCAACACAUAUGUGGCUAUCAUUACACAUGUGUAAAGGUAAUGCAUCACACCAUUGUCACCCAUGUAUUUAGAAAAUACCAAGAAGAAAAACAACUUGUUUAUUGUAUUUUAUGGAGAUUAUCUUGCUUACAUAUAAUUAUAACCCAACAAAGUGGUCACUAAAUGUCAAAACCAACUAGGUACCAGGUCAUCUCUAGCUUAUCUUGCUAAUGAUAUUUUUGCAAAAUCCAAAAUUAAUCUUGCACAAGCACAAGGACUGAGAUGUGUAUAAAAAUCUCUUAGAUUAGUAGGUAAUCCAUCACACAAAGCGCAAUAGUGUAGCAAAACUGGCAGUCAAAAUAUUUUGCCUCCUUAUGCUCCUUGCUCUUUCUGCAAGUGCUGCUAACGCGACCAAUUUUCUGCAAUGCUCACAAGAUCCAAUUGCUUCCCUUCUUCCCUCAUACCUCUCACCAGCGACAUCUUCAGUAUGUGAAAACCCAAUUCUUCAACCCUAUAGGAUCCAACAGGCAAUCACAGCAAGCAUCUUACCUUUAUCACCCUUGUUCCUCCAACAACCGCCAGCCCUGUUACAACAAUUACCUUUGGUGCAUUUGUUGGAACAAAGCAUCAAGGCACAACAACUACAACAACCUGUGCUGACAAACCUUGUUGCCUACUCUCAGCAACAAUAGUUUCUUCCAUUCAACCAACUGGCUGCACUGAACUCUGCUGCUUAUUUGCAACAACAACAACAACUUCCAUUCACCCAGCUAGCUGCUGCCUACCCCCAACAAUUUCUUCCAUUCGACUAACUGGCUGCAUUGAACUCUGUUGCUUAUUUACAACAGCAACAACUAAUACCAUGAAACCAGCUAGCUGUUGCGAGCCCUGCUACCUUCUUGACACAACCACAGUUGAUGUCGUUCUACCUGCAAGCUGUGGCUAACGUCGGCACCCUCUUACAACUACAACAAUUGUUGCCAUUCAUCCAACUUGCUUUGACAAACCCAAUAGUGUUCUACCAACAACCCAUCAUUGGUGGCGCCCUCUUUUAUAUUUCUUAUGGGUUAUAGUUCAAUAAUGAAGUUUUUGGCUGAUGUUUGUGGCUUCCCAGAAAUAAGAAAGUAUAUUUCUAGAUUCUUAUGUGCUACUAGUCUCCAAAUGUGGUUGAUAAUUAUGUUGCUCUAAGAACGGGAGUAAUGAGGUAUAAAUCAUUGUUGAGGUGUGAUACUCGGGUAGUUGAGCAUUAGCACGCACAAAUAUGAUGAGGACGGUAUAAUCUCCAAAAAUAUGUACUUUGUUAGGUGGGACCCUAUAGCCAUGCAGAAUGUGCUCUGUUAGACACGUCGAUGGAAACGUGUCACACAUACGUUUUGUGAACCUAUUGAUAUUGUAUGUGCUUUUAGUUGUGUGGUGCUAUAGAUAUGAGGGCUUGUUUCACGUAAUGAGCUAGGGUAGAAAAAUAAUUAUUUGCCUUGGAUUGUUAUGGAAGAACAUACCAAUUGUGACUGCCAUCUCAAUCUAGCUAACAUCUAAGUGACCUAAAAGGAGAGCAUAAGGAACUGAUCUACAAUGACUAGCCUAGUGGUUUUAUAGGAAAUGGCAAAGAGGAAAAUGUGUUUAAGUUAUUACAAUUGUAUGGUUUAAAACAAGCACCUAAGCACAUGAGAAAUUUUAUGAAGUUCUGACUUUGGCUAAAUUUGUUGUAAAUGAAGCUGAUAAAUGUGUCUAUUGCUAGUUUGAGAGGAGGGAUGGCAUGACCUGUUUUUUAUAUUUGGAUGAUAUAUUAAUCUUUUGUAAUGAUGUUAAUAUUAUCGAGGAAGUAAAAUACUCUUUGUGUGGUAACUUUGAAAUAAAUGAUUUUGGAGAGGCUAAUGUUGUUCUUAACAUAAAGAUGUUGGGAGAAGGAGGAAAUAGGGGGUAACUCUUGUGAAUCCUAUUAGGUUGAAAAGACAUUUAGUUGUUUUGGAUAUAGUAACUACACAUCUGGUCAAAUUACUUAUGACACAAGCGUGUUGUUAAGGAAAAUGAUAUAAUCGCAUAGAAUCAAAUGAGAUACUAUCAAAUCAUGGUCUUCUCGUGUAUUUGGCUAAUCCAACGAGGCCUAAUAUCUCAUUGCUAUGAUUAAACUUAGUCGAUUUGUAUACAAUGUAGGGGAUGAUCAUGGCAAGCCCUAGAGAGGGUAUUGCGCUACCUAAAAGGGACUAUGAGUAAUGUAAUUUACUAUACCAGGCACCUAAGGGUACCAGAGUGUUACAAUGAUGCAAACAAGAUAUCUGAUGGUGACGAGAUUUAUGCCACAAGUGGAUAUGUGUGCUUGCUUGGAGGUGUGAUAGUUUCAUGGAAGUCUUGUAAGUAUACCAUCUUAACAAGAUCAACAAAACAAGUAGAACUGGCAACAUAAGAUACUACCAUAGUUGAAGCUAAGUGGCUUCUUGAACUCCUUAUGGAUUUACCAGUAGUUGAAAACUAAUAGUGGUUAUCUCUAUGAUCUAUGAUAAUCAAAUAGUCGUAAUCAAAGUGAACAGUUCUAAGGAUAACAUGAAUUCUACAAAGCAUGUCAAAAAGCGAUUGAAACUAUUAGAACACUAAGAAUCUCUAGAGUAAUUGUGUUGGACUAUGUCCAUACAUCUAAGAAUUUGGUAGGUCGAUUUAGAGAAGGUUUGUCCAUAAUGUGAUAGAUGGUGCAUCGUGUAAGAUGGGCUUGAGACCCUCUUAAUGCCAUUCCUUAGUGGUAGCAUGUUCUAUGUGAUUGGAGAUCUCGUGAAGUAGAAUGGUGAAACAAGAUAGAGAAUGACUGAUGGAGAGACUCCUUAAAUAAAAUCUAGGUAAUUUGAUAUGCAUAUUUCUCCUUUGAUGUAUCGUAGGCUAACUAAAAUCUUAAUAUGAUCGGAGUGAUUUAUCUAAGCAGGGAUGUUAUCUUAUAGAACAUCCUAGAAGGAACACACCUAUAUGAGUUUGACUGCUAUUCAUAGUCUAUGAUAUUUGGGAAAUCUUUAUAUACACCUGAAAGGCCUAGAAAUGUGACUUCUAUGCUUCAAACCAAGGGGAUGCUUGUAACAAUCUAGUAUCAGAUAAGAACUUUGGUGAAACUCACUUCAUGCAAAACCGUUAAUUCAAAGCAUAGUCCAUUGUUCAGAUGUGAAUGUAUAACCCAUGUUCUAGAUGGAUGGUCAACUUAAUAGCCUCCACCAAGACCAUGAUAUAUCAAAGAGUAGUGGAUUUGAGUUUGUCCAAUAUGUGGUUUAGAUUUUGGUGGGGAAUGUUAAUAUUUUAUUGGCUUGACCCAUUUAAAGUGUUUAAUAAUUUUGAAAGACAAGAUUAAACAAAC